GGAUCAUCUGCUCUCCUGGACGUACCCACAUAAUGGGACCAUCAUCACUGUCUUUACGACUCUCUAAUUUUAAACUAGAAAGUGUUCCCCAUGGCAGUGUACACUAAUGGGAAAUACAAGCCACAAUUUUCAAGCUGAAAGACGCUGGCAUUAUGAGGUGAAAUAUGAACAGAUCAGAAUGGAGCAAAGAGCAGAUGGAUUACUGCACACACCAAAAAGUCUGGGGAAAAAAAAUGGCUUCAGAGAAAAAAAUCAACAACAACAACAAGCAAACAAAAUUAUCCACAAACUGAACUCAACUUCAAGAAACCCAUGAAGUCCCACCAAAGACCAACAACAAAAGCCAAGAACAUUACACCAUCUAAGAAUAUGCAAGGACAUUGAGGGUUUUGCUGCAGAAGUGCACCAGCAAUGCACUUACACACUGAUGUCUCAGAACAGAAAACCUCUAAUUUCAGAGUCAGAGUUGAUCUCAAACACUGCAGCCAUGAAGAGGCCAUUUCCAUUGCUGCGAACUUGGUACAUUUCAGUGAAGUGCCCAAGCGGUUUUCUGUUCCUUGCCAACUUCAUUCAAAUCCUUAAAUGCUUCUUUAUACUUCCAGUUUCAAAUGGGAGCCAACACUGAACAAAUAUUCAUCAACACUGCUCUGAUUUCACAAAUACUCCUUAAUCUGUUUGGCUGCUUUUUACUAUUAAACCACAUGUACUUCAUACUACUCCCUUCACUUUUUUUCCCUUUUUUAGAUCAGGGUUUUGGUAUCAGAAUGGGAUGUCUUGACAGUUCUGGUAUUACUCAACUGUCAUUAAAAACCUAAAUUCAACAACUAGUUUUUCCCAAUUGGAAGUAUCUGGAAAUGCAAUCUCAAGAUUUGAUCAGCUUAAAAGCAAGAAGCAAAUUCUACUGAAAACAAAGUUCUACUGAAAAAUACUGAAACACAAUUGAAAAUACAUAGUUCCAAUAUAAAAGAAUUCUCUCUAGAACACAGGAAAAUAACAAUAUAUGGAAAUAGAUACUACACAAAUCUUUAAUGAUAAGGAAAUGAAGCACUAAAUUGAGAUUUUCUUUUAAAAAUAUUUUCAGCAAUUCCCCUCAAAUACUAAAGGAACUAAUGAUUUCAAGCAGGAUUUCACAAAUUAUUAAAGAACUAAACAGCAAAAACCUCUCUGCAAAAGAAAUGUUAAAGAGAUAAACAAGGAGGACAGCAAGCAGAAGAUAAUAUUGAGAGGAUAAAAGAGAAGGGAAACGACAAGCUCUGUGUACAGAACCUGAAAAAGUGAGGACAACCUCUCACAUAAAGUCACAUUACAAACAUGAACUAUCAUUACUAUCACAUGUCUUCCUCCAAAAUACUUACUUCAUUAAUAUUUGACUAUUCAGUGUCUAUCACAGCUAGCAUGGCAACAUGAAUUUAUUCCAAACCAGGAACAAAAUCAAUGAAAAUGGUUUCUCUGAAGAUGCAACUGCCUGUUGUUAUGGAAUGGGGCUGAUUGUGUAGACCCACAGUCAUCCUUGAGCUACCUUUAACAUAUUUAAUCAAUGGAAUUUGCCAACUCCGUAAUAAAACCAGUCCCUCAAGAGUAUUUAAGUAGUUCUGAUGGAUUAAUGAAACAAACUCCACCAGCUCAAGAAGCACCACACCUUGGCACUAGAACAUGCAGCUGGGAGGAAAGAAGGAAUGAGGACCUUUUCUUUUGGCAGAAAAUCUUCUUUAGAUUGGCUCUGGCCAUUUGUCUAAUUGCACACUGUACAGCUGGAAUGACCUUUCCUGAAAGUGAAUAGGCUGAAUGAUGUGCAUCCUCUCAUACCUACAGCACAAAGGCAGUAAGGUAAAACAAGACAAAGCUUUAAUAAAUCAGUGAGAACUGCAAGAAUCAAUAAAUCAAUAAAUCAGUGAGAACUGUGUGGUGCAGUUGACACAAGGGAAGGAAGGGAUGCCAUCCAGAGGCUGGGAAGAUGGGCCCUGUGGACCUCAUGAAGUUCAACAAAGCCAAGUGCAAGGUCCUGCAUGUGGGUUGGGACAAUUCCAAGCACAAAUGCAGCAUGGAGAAUCAACUGAGAGCAGCCCUGGGGAGAAAGAC